UCCGGAUGUCAUUGGUUGGAUCCACCAUCAUCGAAUCACUCUCCUGGGGAAACAAAUUAUUAAGUGCUUAGAGAUACAGCUUUUUGCAUGGGAAUCCUAGCAGAAUAAAAACGGAUGGUUUACAAUGUAAAUCCUGAAAGUUAAGUGGUGUCCUAUGUAAGACCAGAUGACACAAACCUGAUAAUGCAUCUCUUGAAGCGUUUGGGGUGAGCCCCGAGGCCUGGGUGCAGGAGUGGUUUACUGAGUGGCAAUCAUCAGCAAUGCCAUCUGGGGCAUUGGAGAAGACCCAUGCUGAGAGGACCUGCGAGAGAGCCAGUGGGUCUCAUCCAAGGUACAAAGAAACCAUAUAUUUUGCUAUAAUAUUCCAUACCUUCUUACUAGACACAUAGUCACUCUCCACUUUAUAAACAUGUUUUGUUACAAGAAAUGGGUCAUGUCAAUGAAGAUAUUCCAAUUUUAGUUGAGAAAAAUUUUGCUUUGCUGUUUAAAUUUUGGGUUAUUUUGUUUAGGACACUGGGGACUAAUUAGCAAUAUGUUACUUUCACUUCCAAUA
rnacentral:lncRNA from 1 species